AAUAUUAAAUCUGACUGCACUUCCCAAUCUCAGCCCGCGACAGCGAAAUCGGUUGAGGUGCCAUUUUAAAAUUGUGUUUGUCGCAAGCGCAUCGUGCCAGAUUUUUUAAUUUUUAGAAAAGAUACCAGCCGAAAAAGUUUUAAUAGUAAACACUCUUUAUUAGCAAAUGCGUGUGGGGCACUACAGGAUGCUUGCAGUUCCAUAUUGCAGAAUGACAACGAAAAACAACAAUUUGCCAGGAAUCAACUGGUUGUUGAAUAAUACGGCGAUGAAUUUCGUUCGAAAUAUGGAACUGAUGCCGGAAGAGCUCUAUCGAUAAAUUCCUGGAGUGGAAAGGAUAUCAAUUCUCGGUGAGAGUGUAUGGACGGCCUAUUUACUGAUUAGUGCACCAUGGGUUAUUGAUUGCCCUGCUCCGGUCUGCUGAGGUCUCAUUCUACUGCCCUUGUAUGAGGAAAAGAAUUUGCAACAAAGCUAAAUUGUUAUUGCAGCAAGAUGCAAUGUAUCGGGGAACACGAGUAACUGUAAUGUUGCAGUGCCAAAAACGUUUACGGGCUGCCAGCAGCUGCUGCUCAGGAUACCCUUUACCACAUACUCCAGUCGGUCAAGACAUGGACUGGACAUUGAAUACUAGCCAGAGUUCCUUCCGCUGAUGUGCAACCUAACGGUGAACCUGCAGAAUGAAUUUGUCGGUACAUUGAAGAGAAUAUUUGUUAUAGCUUAGUAUUUCCGUAUUUCGUAAUUACAGAUGCGAUAAACGA